AAGUCAUAACAAGGUUUCCGUAGGUGAACCUGCGGAAGGAUCAUUAAUAACGCCCGCAAGGGUUAAUGUUGGUCUGAGCUUGCUCAGGCCUUAUCCACACACACCGUGAACUGUGGCUUCGGCCAUUACAAACUGUUAGUAAUGAAUGUAAUAUCAUAACAAAAUAUAACUUUUAACAACGGAUCUCUUGGCUCUC
rnacentral:misc_RNA from 1 species